rnacentral:rRNA from 1 species
UUUUUCCCCUUUUUUUUUUUUUUUCUUUCUCCUUCGCAUUAUUACAAGGUCCCCGGAGGGAAAGUUGAAAAGGCUUUGGAGAGAGAGUUAAGAGGACGUGAACCGGUGAGGUGGAAACGGACAGAGCUGGCGUAUCUAGCCUGCAUUCAGCCUCUGGGCAUCUGACCUUGGGACGACGCCUCCAGAUUGGAGUGUUGUUUUGUCCGUUGGGUGCUGCGUGGUGCAUUUGCAGGUGGAGUGCGCCGAGGCGUUCGGUGCAGCGCUGUGAGCCUGUUUUUGAGGCUAGAUGUAAAUCUAGUACCCAGAAUGGGCGAACAUUGUUUGCGUUGUGCGUUCUGGCGUUGGUAUUCGCGGGCACUUGUGGUGCCGAAUUGGCGAUGGGUGGCAGCCGCAUGCGACAUGUGCCCAGAGUUAGUUCGGUCCUGCUUGUGCUCACAACGCCAAUCCUCGGUGUAAAAGCCGGUCAUCUGUCCGACCCGUCUUGAAACACGGACCAAGGAGUUUAGCGUGUGCGCGAGUCAUUGGGCGUUGAAAACCCAAAGGCGCAAUGAAAGUGAAUGACUCCAUCGUGGAGCUGAUGUGCGACCCUGCGUACUGCGGUGCGUGGGGGCAGCAUAGUCCCGUCUUGACCGCUUGCGGUGGGGCGGAGAAAGAGCGUACGCGCUGAGACCCGAAAGAUGGUGAACUAUUCCUGAGCAGGACGAAGCCAGAGGAAACUCUGGUGGAAGUCCGAAGCGAUUCUGACGUGCAAAUCGAUCGUCUGACUUGGGUAUAGGUCGAAAGUCUGUUCGUCCAUCUAGUAGCUGGUUUCCUUCAAAAAAAAAAUAUUUUUUAUUUUUUUUAUAAAAAAAAAGGGGAAAAAAAGG